UUAAAGUCAGAAACACAUUAUUGAUUAAGUUACAGGGAAACAGAGACCCAUAUACACUGCAGGUAAGAGGGUAACUUGGUCCAUCUAUUUGGCAGAGUUCCUCGGUUUUUUCUACAAGAACAACUUAGCCUUGCCUGAAGGAAAAACCUAGAAGCAAUUUGAAUUCUAGAUCUAUAGCUUAGACAAAAACCAUGUCCAUGAGUGUGAGGAUUCAUGCUGUGGGAGAGUCUCCACGCUCCCCACCCACUCCCAGCCACCAGGCGAGACUCUGUGAAUCACAGACGCCAGGUAUGCCGACAGAAGCGUGUGCUUUUAUUUGUUCUCUGGUCAAAACACAUUUUCCGUGCCCAGCCCUUUUCUGGGUGCCAGGAAUACACAAAGGACCGGGCACAGAGGAAGCAUCCGUGGCAGCACCAAGGCUUCAGCGGGGACUGCGGAUACCUCAGGCUUGUGUGGGAAGUGGACUCCCUGGACACCAGGAAUCCUCAGCUUCAUCACACUGGCAUCAAUCUGUCUGCAGAAAGAACAUUAGAUCAGCACGUCUACCUAUGGGGCAGCCACCUUAUGUCCAGAUUCUCCACCUCAAGUGGGACCCUGGCCAACAAGUUCCAAGGCCAUUUGGGGCAGGAAAGAUGGAGCGCGAGGUGGCAAAAUUGAAGAAUCACUGGUCUUGGGGGCCCACACCAAAGAUGUCUGAGACGGAAGCCUUGCCCCAGGUGACUGACUGCAUUGAACACGGUGGAUGCCAUGCUCAGGUCAAGAUCCUGGUCGACAUGGAGGCUCCAGGGAAGAAACCUGAGAACAGUGAUAGAGAGAGAUUUGGAGAGAGUUCGAACAACAGAGGUCAUAAAUAAAAUUCUUACCCAUCAUCAAGGCCGACAGAUGCCACUCCAAGACCUCCUCCUACCCAGGAGAAACUGCACAACUGAAUUCCCAUCCACCCAGGUUUCCUCAGCCAGGUUCUUCCUGGUUUGAAUUUUGGAAGUUUUGACAAGGCUUAAUUCCCUCCCAGGCACUCCCACAAUUUGGAAGGGGCUGCUGAGAUUUGCUCUUUUUUCUGCUGAAACCAGCUCCCUGGGGAGUAGACCCAGAAGGUGGGAAUGUGGCGUGUGGGGAUGGGAGCAGAAAAUAUGAACAUCUGGGGUAGAGGUUAGGGGAGCAGAUGGACAAUGGGAGGGCUCGGCCUGCUCCCCAACCAUAACCCUCCAUCACAGCGAUUUGUGAAGGUGCCAGCAAUAACGUUGCAGGAUUAUAACCUGCGGAAAAAUCUAAAUGAGAAAAUAAAAGUGAUGCCAAGCAAGGGCUUGACCUGCUCUCCGCAAGACAAAAGCCAAUCUGUCAAGAGGCAAGGCGGUGGAGAGAGAAAAUUUCACUUAAGCAAUGAGCUAGCUAACUGAAAGAUGGUGGACUAUGCUAAAAAACCAUCUGCGAGGGGAACUGAUUUGGAAAUGAGUUAUAUAAGGCCAACGGGGUCGGGGAGGGAACUCAGGAGUGCCAGGUAUUGGAUGACCGCAGACCGCCGGGCGCCUCUCUGUAGACAAAAGUUUUGGAUCUGCUGAAUGUGACAUUCCUGAGGAAUCUAAGAAAACAUAGUUGUUUUCUUCUGAGGGAGAGAAGCAAGAGUUUGGGCAGAGGCCUGAAAUCUUCUGCUAACAAGUCAUUCUCUCUACUGGUUGCUGACUGGUUACUCAUUAGCUUGCCUACGUGCAGGUCUAAGCGUUUCUCCAAAGCGCACGGCGAGAAUAAGCAGAGGGUGGGGGGUGGUUUAGACAUAAAGUCUCUCAUGCUAACUCGGUCUCAAAAGUUGCCAGCUGUUUCCCUACAAACAGAUACUCGAUAUUAAUAUUCUGACGUAUUUACCCCCAGUUCUUGUUCUGUGUGUUAUUUACAAAAUUGGAACUAUACUG
rnacentral:lncRNA from 1 species